GUUAGUUUUUAUACAUUUAUCAAUGCACAUAAUGGUUUAAACUGUUCAACUAUACCCCCUGACGGGUCAUUGGUUGCUGCUGGAUUUUCAGAUUCAUCGCUGAAGAUUUGGGAUAUGGCAAAGCUUGGGCAACAGGUUGUUGGUUGUAAGUCAAUCCUCUGUUUCUACUGUGUUGAGAUAUUCUUGUACAUAAAUCAAAGUUAAAAAAAAGAUAUGCACGUGUUUUACAGUGUAUAAAUUAGUCUAGGAUAUAUAGACACACAAUUUAAGCCUUCAUAAAUUGCUAGGUUUUUUCGGCUGUAAGUGCAACAAACAUUUGGUUAAAAAAUUGCUGGCAGUCAUGGAGUUAAAAGCUAGUUAAGGAUGGUAAUAUCUCUUUAGGUUUAUUAAAGCUAUGUUAGUUUGUUGACAAGUAUGUUUUGUUUGCUCUGU